rnacentral:rRNA from 1 species
UAGGGAAUCUUCGGCAAUGGACGAAAGUCUGACCGAGCAACGCCGCGUGAGUGAAGAAGGUUUUCGGAUCGUAAAACUCUGUUGUUAGAGAAGAACAAGGACGUUAGUAACUGAACGUCCCCUGACGGUAUCUAACCAGAAAGCCACGGCUAACUACGUGCCAGCAGCCGCGGUAAUACGUAGGUGGCAAGCGUUGUCCGGAUUUAUUGGGCGUAAAGCGAGCGCAGGCGGUUUCUUAAGUCUGAUGUGAAAGCCCCCGGCUCACCCGGGGAGGGUCAUUGGAAACUGGGAGACUUGAGUGCAGAAGAGGAGAGUGGAAUUCCAUGUGUAGCGGUGAAAUGCGUAGAUAUAUGGAGGAACACCAGUGGCGAAGGCGGCUCUCUGGUCUGUAACAGACGCUGAGGCUCGAAAGCGUGGGGAGCAAACAGG